AAUAUUGUUUUGUAACACCCUAAAUCACUGAGCGCACAAACGCUACCCCUGUUACAAGCAUGAGUGGUUGACUUCAUGCAGACAUGCGCAGACAUUGAAGUACCGCGAGAGUGAUUCAAAAGCCCACGAAACAGUGUAAUCACGCGGUACUGUGAUGUCAUACUGGUUAACGCUAAGCCACGUGAAGCCGGACACAAGGGCUACACUAAUCUUUGGGCUGGAGUAGCCUGUGGUUUUUAAGGCUUCGUGUCUCAUCGCGUUAAACGAUCGCAGAACGAUUUAUUUCUCUUUUUCACCUCGAUCUUUGGCCUCGUGUGAUUUACCAAAACUAACAUGUGAAGUUACAACGCUGACGAAGGAGUUUCAUCAGUAGAGUGUGUCCUGGUAAACGUGUGCUCGGAAACAUGCAGAUUACAGUAUUUACAGAGCCGACCUUGAGUCACCCACUGAUGGAUAAUCUGUUUACCUAAAAACAGCCCACCACAAUCCAUGUUUACCAGCUGUGAAAGUGCAGGCCAAAAAUCUUCCUUCACCUGUGGGCCUCUACCCACAUGUAGAUAAGCACUUCAGGAGAAACCUGCCUGUGAUCUGCUAAGAUGCACAGAUUCAACUCUGGCCCAUUGUCAUCCCAACACCUCAUCUGCCAUCAGUUUCGUUUAGUGUCGGUCUAUUGCAAAAGUUUUUAUAAACUUUAAAUGAGACUUUGUGUUAAGCAGGGGUUUCCAAACUUUUCAUUCCACAACAUAUUAAGCCCAGGAUACACAGCAGGAUUUUUGCAAUCCAAUAAGACCUUAUCACACUGUGUGACAAGGAUUGUUUAAACUUCAGCAGUAGACUGUCGAUGAAGACACCUAUUGCAUCUGAAGCUGCGACAUCUGUCAUCAACAUGCGCUAGUGGUAAACAAAUACAGGUAUGCAGGUCGUAGAAGCAAACAAAUUGUUGAUGUGCGAUGAUAAUGCUGAACUUCUUACACUGUCAUAAAACUAUCGUAGGUGUCUUUGGUCCCAGGACUGGGAAAACAGACGUCUUUAAACCUCUCACACUGUAUGAGAUAGGACCACCAAUUAAGAGCCACGAUCACAGAAAUCUCCACGAUUGUUUCACGAUUGGUAAUCUUUCAUCUGGGACAGCCAAAAAUCGUGCCGUGUAUUAUGGGCUUUAGACAGGUGUAAUCUUAUAGUAUAUCAAAACCAUUGCUAAUAAUUAAUUGGACAAACCAUCACUACAAUGCAACACUCACUAUCUUACGGUGCGACCCACAAGUGGGUCUUCACCCACAGUUUAAAAACCCUGAGUAUGAGAAAGAGUAUGUUGUAUUGUAAUUAAAGUCACAUCUAAGUGUUAUGGAACAGUUUGUCAUUAUAUUCACAGUAUUGCAUGGUUCUUUCAGCAGUUACUACGUUACAGUGCUCUUAAAGUGUCCUGAUCAGCUUUGGGUCUUGUGAAGUAAUGUAAUGAGAACGUGAUCAAUAGCUUUGCAGUAUUUUGUUACACUGUGGCUGUAAUCAUAUUAACACAUAGGUUAAACAUUUUUUUCAAAUUUGGUAAACAAACUAGUCAAUAUAAUUCAUGCUGUGAUGCUGGAUUAAACCUGGUCAAAUGAUUGUGUAUUGUGUUUUCAAUUUUUUAUGAGGUUUCUUCAUCUAUAUAAACAUUCUCAAUAUCACCUUUGGUUUGCUCAGAGUUUGUUCAGAUGAUUUUUAAAACUAAAUGUUGUGAAAAUGCAAGGUGUGUUACACAAUUUCAAUGGAUGGCGUGGGGUCAAAAACUAUCAAAAGUUUCAAGCUUAGAUAUAUAACUGUUGACAAACACACUUAAUGUGAGUCACACCCAGUAAUUAUAAUAAGCAGGAAUUGCAGUAAGCAGGGUCACCUUAAGAUAAUCAGCUUGUUGGCAAUUGUUUUAUUUAAUUAAAUGUAUAACUUUUUUCAUUUCAGACUGAUAAAACAGUCAGAGGGGCAGUGGCUGUUGGCAAUGAUGUUCUUGUGUGUUUUGUAU